rnacentral:rRNA from 1 species
UACGGAGGGUGCAAGCGUUGUCCGGAUUUAUUGGGUUUAAAGGGUGCGUAGGUGGUCCGCUAAGUCAGCUUUGAAAGUGGCUUGCUCAACAAGACAGGGUGGGUUGAUACUGGCGGACUUGAAUGGAGUGGAGGCCACUGGAACGGGUCGUGUAGCGGUGAAAUGCAUAGAUAUGACCCAGAACUCCGAUUGCGCAGGCAGGUGGCUGAGCUUUGAUUGACACUGAGGCACGAGAGCAUGGGGAGCAAACAGG